rnacentral:lncRNA from 1 species
AUGCUCCGGUGCUCCGAGCGCAGGAAACCUUCUGCAGGAUUUUUCAGAGAGGAAAAACGAGAAAUGGGAAAUGGGGCAAGUGGGGAGCCCACGGCCGGCCCCAGAUCUCACGCAGCUUUGGGCCAAGGAGUGAUCACCACCGCACGAGCUUCAAGGAUGGUUUGUGUGGUUUUGGGAAUGCAGAAUUUGGCUUUCCGUCCUUGGACGUGCCUGGGAAUUCCUCAAGUCACCGCUGGAAUUGCAAAGUUUACUCUGAGCUAAAAGCGCUGUAAAUUCUGUGAGGUAACGCAAAGAGAGAAGCCACUAACUCAGGCACCACUUCAGAUCACACAGGAUGGAGAACUUCCAGAGAAGUUCUGCCAACAGGCACUGGAAUUAUUUGACUCAUUAUUAAAGGGAUGAAUGGGUUAUAAUUAUUCCUAAUUUCAUAUUCAGAGCUCAUUACCACUCCUAAGAAGGGUAGGUAGGGAGCCCUUGAGAUCCGGCAAGUUACUUUAAAUAUUCAU